rnacentral:lncRNA from 1 species
GGGAGGGGUGAAUUGGUUUCAAAUAAAAAUGCUUUCUUUCAGUCUUUUGAAAAUCUUUAGAAUGAUCUUUAAAGUGCAACACAAUAAUGAGAACAAUGCAGUAAAAGAGUUUAAAGGAUAGAAAACAAACACAACUUUUUAUACCGGUUCAGCCUCAAUGCCUACAUCCAGUCUCUUUUAAUCAACCAUAGAUUGAAAGACCUUUCACUAUAAAGAUUUGAGUUUUUACAACAAGGCUUUAUAGAAACAAACUCUCAAAUGUAAUCUCCUCUCCAAUUCACCAAUCUAAUAUAGGAAAAAUACACCCUUCUCUGCAGUACCCCUUUGAGACACUUCUCAAAGUCACUGGAAUCACACGUUCUUCUUCC